CGAGAGCUUAAAUCCACACACGUGUCGACACGAUGACCUGGGUGCCUUCGGCUUAUAUAGGCCGCUGGUUGGUCAUUGGGAUACGUGGAGGCCAAACC
rnacentral:sRNA from 7 species